UGGGAGCAGGCGAUAUCGUAUCAGGUAGUUGGUGGGGUAACGGCCCACCAAGCCGACGACGCGUAGCUGGUCUGAGAGGACGGCCAGCCACAUCGGGACUGAGACACUGCCCGGACUCCUACGGGGGCUGCAGUAACGAAUCUUCCACAAUGCACGAAAGUGUGAUGGAGCGACGCCGCGUGUAGGAUGAAGUCCUUCGGGAUGUAAACUACUGUCAGGGGAAAGAAAGUUCUGAUCUACCCCAGAGGAAGAGGCGGCUAACUCUGUGCCAGCAGCCGCGGUAAUACAGAGGCCUCGAGCGUUAGGCGGAAUCACUGGGCUUAAAGCGUGUGUAGGCGGACUUCUAAGUACCUUGUGAAAUCCCACAGCUUAACUGUGGAACUGCUUGGUAUACUGGUUGUCUUGAGGUACUAGGGGCGAGCGGAACAAGUGGUGGAGCGGUGAAAUGCGUAGAUAUCACUUGGAACGCCAACGGUGAAAACAGCUCGCUGGGGGUAUCCUGACGCUGAGACACGAAAGCCAGGGGAGCAAACGGGAUUAGAUACCCCGGUAGUCCUGGCCCUAAACGAUGUCGACUAGAUCGUGGUGGCUCUGACGCCUUCACGGUCGAAGCAAAAGUGCUAAGUCGACCGCCUGGGAAGUACGGUCGCAAGGCUAAAACUCAAAGGAAUUGACGGGGGCUCACACAAGCGGUGGAGCAUGUGGUUUAAUUCGAAGCAACGCGCAGAACCUUACCUGGGCUUGACAUGCUAGGAUUAUCUCUAUGAAAGUAGAGUAGGCCCUUCGGGGUACAACUAGUACAGGUGCUGCAUGGCUGUCGUCAGCUCGUGUCGUGAGAUGUCGGGUUAAGUCCCUUAACGAGCGAAACCUUUGCCCUUAGUUACCAGCGCGUUAUGGCGGGGACUCUAAGGGGACUGCC
rnacentral:rRNA from 1 species